rnacentral:rRNA from 1 species
GCUAGCGGCAGGCCUAAUACAUGCAAGUCGAGGGGUAAUUCUGCUUUCGGGCAGAAACGACCGGCGCACGGGUGCGUAACGCGUAUGCAACCUACCCACAACUGGGGGAUAGCCCGGAGAAAUCCGGAUUAAUACCCCAUAAUGCAGGGGUACUGCAUGGUACUAUUUGCUAAAGAUUUAUCGGUUGUGGAUGGGCAUGCGUCUGAUUAGUUAGUUGGUGAGGUAACGGCUCACCAAGGCGACGAUCAGUAGGGGGUCUGAGAGGAUGAUCCCCCACACUGGUACUGAGAUACGGACCAGACUCCUACGGGAGGCAGCAGUAGGGAAUAUUGGUCAAUGGGCGGAAGCCUGAACCAGCCAUGCCGCGUGCAGGAUGACGGCCUUCUGGGUUGUAAACUGCUUUUAUCAGGGAAGAAAACGGUCAUGCGUGACAGAUUGACGGUACCUGAAGAAUAAGCACCGGCUAACUCCGUGCCAGCAGCCGCGGUAAUACGGAGGGUGCAAGCGUUGUCCGGAUUUAUUGGGUUUAAAGGGUGCGUAGGCGGAUUAUUAAGUCAGUGG